UACGAAGGGGGCUAGCGUUGCUCGGAAUCACUGGGCGUAAAGCGCACGUAGGCGGCUUGUUAAGUCAGGGGUGAAAUCCUGGAGCUCAACUCCAGAACUGCCUUUGAUACUGGCGAGCUUGAGUUCGGGAGAGGUGAGUGGAACUGCGAGUGUAGAGGUGAAAUUCGUAGAUAUUCGCAAGAACACCAGUGGCGAAGGCGGCUCACUGGCCCGAUACUGACGCUGAUGCGCGAAAGCUAGGGGAGCGAACGGGG
rnacentral:rRNA from 1 species